CGAAAGCCUGACGGAGCAAUACCGCGUGAGGGAUGACGGCCUAUGGGUUGUAAACCUCUUUUCUCAGGGAGGAAAUCAAUGACGUUACCUGAGGAAUAAGCAUCGGCUAACUCCGUGCCAGCAGCCGCGGUAAUACGGAGGAUGCAAGCGUUAUCCGGAAUCACUGGGCGUAAAGCGUCUGUAGGUGGUUUAGCAAGUCAACUGUUAAAUCUUGAGGCUCAACCUCAAAAUCGCAGUCGAAACGGUUAGACUAGAGUAUAGUAGAGGUAAAGGGAAUUUCCAGUGGAGCGGUGAAAUGCGUAGAUAUUGGAAAGAACACCGAUGGCGAAAGCACUUUACUGGGCUAUUACUAACACUCAGAGACGAAAGCUAGGGUAGCA
rnacentral:rRNA from 1 species